AACGAACGCUGGCGGCAUGCCUAACACAUGCAAGUCGAACGAAACCUUCGGGUCUAUUUGCGCACGUGGGCUUAACACCUGGGAACCUGCCCUUAGGUUCCGAAUCCCUCCCCGAAAGGGGUCCUCAUACCGGAUAAUGUCUUAGCACCAAAGAUUUAUCGCGUUUGGAUGGGCCUGUGUUGGAUUAGCGAGUUGGUAGGGUAAAAGCAUACCAAGGAGACGAUGCAUAGCUGGUCUGAGAGGAGGAUCAGCCACACUGGGAAUAAGACACGGGCCAGAAUCCUACGGGAGGCAGCAGUGUGUAAUAUUGGACAAUGGGCGAAAGCCUGAUCAAGCAAUGCGGCGUGAGUGAUGAAGGCCUUAGGGUUGUAAAGCUCUUUUACACGGGAUGAUAAUGACAGUACCGGGAGAAUAAGCUCCGGCUAACUCCGUG
rnacentral:rRNA from 1 species